rnacentral:rRNA from 1 species
UACGUAGGGUCCGAGCGUUGUCCGGAAUGUCUGGGCGUAAAGAGCUCGUAGGUGGUUUGUCGCGUUGUUCGUGAAAACUCACAGCUCAACUGUGGGCGUGCGGGCGAUACGGGCAGACUAGAGUACUGCAGGGAAGACUGGAAUUCCUGGUGUAGCGGUGGAAUGCGCAGAUAUCAGGAGGAACACCGGUGGCGAAGGCGGGUCUCUGGGCAGUAACUGACGCUGAGGAGCGAAAGCGUGGGGAGCGAACAGG